rnacentral:tRNA from 1 species
UACAUUAUAGUGUAUAAGCACUAAAGAUUUUGAUUCUUUAAGAAUAUUUUAUUUAUUUAAUGUAA